UCUACACAGAUCGCGAAAGUUUUAUCUCGCUGAUUCUUCUCGAACUGGCGACACUUCGCGAAAUAAGGAGGGAACGCAUUCAAGCAAAGAUAACCGUCGACCGACUUUCUUGUUGUUAUAAAGCACUUACAUGUUUCCAAAGGUGUAAACGGUUUGGUUGCUAGUGAAAUGUGGGACAUUGCGAAUCAUCACUUGUCAAUUUCGUUUUCACUUGUAUCGUCAGCGAGGGAAGCUAAAGAGUCGAACACGUUAUGUGGUUCGAGUAAAAUGGUCGAUUCGAAUGCAAACCGCAUAGAAUUGAAUAAUGGUCACUGCACCAAGUCGCGGGCACGAAGGGGUUAAUGGUUCGGCCGUUCGUUGGACAGUACUUGAACAGCGAAGGAAAAGGCGUUGCUUCCCGUGUUACGGCACUGCGUAUUCCUUGCUCGGUUUUGCGCAAUCCAAUCGCAACGCGAAAAGAAGAAGCGGCUGGAUGAGGUCAGCGGAUUUCAUUUCGUCAACGAAAUUAUUUUAGAAAUUAUGGUAGCGCAGUGAAUCCUCUGUUACUUGAAUUUUCGUUGAUGACAUAGAGCCUCGAAUUCAUUCGAUUUAUGUUAGAGAAGAUCUUGGACACUUCAGGGAUGAAUUAAUUUGUUCUAAUAAACAAAACUUGAAACUAUGAUAUUGGCUAUUGAGAAAUUCAAUUAUGAAUAUUUUAGAAAAUAACGCGAUGAUGGGUUUGCAAGUGAAUUCAUGUGCAUUGAUACUGUAGAUAAAUAUGUAUCAUAUCAAUGUUUUCGACUUGAAAAGUUAAACCGUGUUUAAGUUAAACAAUUUAUUAACCGUGAUUCGUUAAAUAGAAAUUAGAAUUUUACUUAUAAGCUGAAACCAGGGAUUCGAACCGCUGCUGAACCCUAACCCAAACCCGGUUAAUGAAGGGAAAUUUACUGUAAUCCAUACUAACCACGAAGGAACGGUUCUUGAAUUGUAGGAAGAGCGGGUUAACCUGCUCGGAGUGGGUUACUAGUAGAAGAAGACAUCCUAGACAUCCAGACAAGUCAAAGAUAUGUGAACUUACAGGCAAUAUUAAAAUCAAACGAAACUAGAUUGUUUAAAAUGUACGAGUAUAUAAUGAAUGUAGGACACACACGUUCACUACACGUUCUAAGGCAAGACUGACGAAUGUUUAUCAUUCGCCUGGUUGUCACAGUUGCUAGUGUUGGGGUUCCCAGAAAACUCAUAACAUGUCCGGUCAAAAUAGGGAUUCCUUCAAGUGACUGUUUAUGCCAAUACAUGUACUAUUCGUCCGCAAGAAGAGGGCUGGCCAAGUGUUUACGUCCCCGUUCUGCUACAUAAGUACAGUAAACGAGUAGUAAAUACGAGUAAAUGUAAGCAGACAAUAUUGAAAUAAAAUUGGUUACCGUUUAGAAACAUGGUAAUAACUAUGGUUUUUAAUGUAUUAUUAUAACGCGCAUACAACCAAGUUAACCGGGUUACUCGGGUUACAGAUGUCUUGUGUUACCUGGUUAGAUGGGUUAUUCUAUAAUACGAAAUACCGGAACCCGGUACGGGUUAGGGUUCGAAUCCUUGACUGAAACUAAAUUUCACGAUCAAAGAAUAGAAUUUGAUCUGUGUAGCUAUUCAAACAAAUAAACCCUACCUUUUAAUCCGCCAUAAAUAAUUCGAAUACAAUUUUACCUAUCUCUGGUCGUCAUCCUCAUGGGAGAAUAAUAAUUUCCCUUUAUUCCGACAACCCAGAAGCAGUAACAGUAAACAUAGAAGAUAAGGAAAUACUCCAGCAUAGAUACAAUUGCGGUGGUACAAAGGAGAUUUUAUUGUCGAUGCGAAUCUAAUCUCCCGAUGUAUCAAGAAGUAUGCGUAUUUUGUGGGAUUCUCGAACGUUCUGGAAACACAGGAAACACAGGAGAUCAUUGUUAUUCGUACGAAUACGUCCAAGGAACCUUGAAUAAUGAAAGUCAAACAAUUAUGGGCACGCGAUAUAAUGAUGAUUCGUCGGUAAGCUGAAUUAACAAUCUGCGCAGAAUACUUUGAGGGGAAAGUUGCCAAGUUCUGGAGAUGUGUCAAACUAUUCAUUUUUUUUUUUUUAUAAAAUUGCAGUGGGAAUUUCGAAUGCAUAUUUAUUAAUUGUUUUUAUCAGGUUAUUUAGAAUGUAUAAAUAGUGUCGAGGAGUUAAUAAAAAUGUUCUACAUCUCGGAACUAAGGCAAAGAUCUGGUGAAUAUGCAAAUUCUUUGUACCUGAGAUACAGUUGCUUUAAAUGUGAUUUAAUUGUAAUAGAUCAAUUACGUUAAAAGAA